GAUGAACGCUAGCUACAGGCUUAACACAUGCAAGUCGAGGGGAAACGAUAGGGAAAGCUUGCUUUCCUUAGGCGUCGACCGGCGCACGGGUGAGUAACGCGUAUCCAACCUGCCCAUGUCUGGGGAAUAACCCGUCGAAAGGCGGACUAACUCCCCAUGGUCUCCGAUGAGGACAUCCGAAUUGGAGUAAAGCUUCGCGGACAUGGAUGGGGAUGCGUCUGAUUAGGUAGUAGGCGGGGUAACGGCCCACCUAGCCUACGAUCAGUAGGGGUUCUGAGAGGAAGGUCCCCCACAUUGGAACUGAGACACGGUCCAAACUCCUACGGGAGGCAGCAGUGAGGAAUAUUGGUCAAUGGACGAGAGUCUGAACCAGCCAAGUAGCGUGCAGGAUGACGGCCCUAUGGGUUGUAAACUGCUUUUGUUGGGGAGUAAAGUGAGGCACGCGUGCCUUUUUGCAUUUACCCUUCGAAUAAGGACCGGCUAAUUCC
rnacentral:rRNA from 1 species